rnacentral:rRNA from 1 species
AGAGUUUGAUCCUGGCUCAGGAUGAACGCUAGCGACAGGCUUAACACAUGCAAGUCGAGGGGCAGCGCGAUGGUAGCAAUACCAUUGGCGGCGACCGGCGCACUGGUGAGUAACACGUAUGCGACCUGCCCCGGACAGGGGGAUAAACCCGGGAAACUGGGCCUAAUACCCCAUACGCCGAUUGGAUGCAUGCCCUUUGGGUGAAAGAUCCGUCGGUCCGGGAUGGGCAUGCGGCGCAUUAGCUUGUUGGCGGGGCAACGGCCCACCAAGGCGACGAUGCGUAGGGGUUCUGAGAGGAAGGUCCCCCACACUGGUACUGAGACACGGACCAGACUCCUACGGGAGGCAGCAGUGAGGAAUAUUGGUCAAUGGACGGUAGUCUGAACCAGCCAAGUCGCGUGCGGGAUGAAGGCCCUCCGGGUCGUAAACCGCUUUAGCCGGGGAGUAACGUGGGGGACGUGUCCCUCAGUGAGAGUACCCGGAGAAUAAGCAUCGGCUAACCCCGUGCCAGCAGCCGCGGUAAUACGGAGGAUGCGAGCGUUAUCCGGAUUUAUUGGGUUUAAAGGGUGCGCAGGCGGCACGUCAAGUCAGCGGUCAAAAUGCGGCGCUCAACGCCGUACCGCCGUUGAAACUGGCGGGCUCGAGUUUGUGCGAGGAUGGCGGAAUGCGCGGUGUAGCGGUGAAAUGCAUAGAUAUCGCGCAGAACUCCGAUUGCGAAGGCAGCUGUCCAGCACACUACUGACGCUCAUGCACGAAAGCGUGGGUAUCGAACAGGAUUAGAUACCCUGGUAGUCCACGCGGUAAACGAUGAUAACUAGUUAUCCGGGGCGAUUGAGCGCUGAGUGACCGAGCGAAAGCGUUAAGUUAUCCACCUGGGGAGUACGCCGGCAACGGUGAAACUCAAAGGAAUUGACGGGGGCCCGCACAAGCGGAGGAACAUGUGGUUUAAUUCGAUGAUACGCGAGGAACCUUACCCGGGCUCAAACGCA